CGAACGAGAGGCGAACCUGCGAAGGCAAGCGGAUCUCUUAAAGCCGUUCUCAGUUCGGACUGUAGGCUGCAACUCGCCUACACGAAGCUGGAAUCGCUAGUAAUCGCGGAUCAGCACGCCGCGGUGAAUACGUUCCCGGGCCUUGUACACACCGCCCGUCACACCAUGAGAGUCUGUAACACCCAAAGCCGGUGGCCUAACCUUUAUGGAGGGAGCCGCCUAAGGCGGGACAGAUGACUGGGGUGAAGUCGUAACAAGGUACC
rnacentral:rRNA from 1 species